GCGGCCGGGAGGGACCGAGCGGGGAGCGAGGCCUGCGGUGAGGCGCAGGAUGGACGCGUUGGCUGUCAUGAUGUAGGACCUCCUGACCUAGAACCAUGCCCGGCGCAGGGAGAACAACGAGCUUAUGGACCGGGUGCGGGGGCUGCUGUGCGAGAAAGCCUACCUGCUGGCCCGGGAGCGUUCGCUGGCCCACCUGGUGGCUUUCCCUAGACGUUUAACGGCGACUCCGCCCGGCCUCCCGACUUUUUGAUGCAGGCGUUCUCUUACAUGACUUUCUUCGAGGCUAGAUUCUCGAAAGACAUCCUGAAGGUGGCUUUCUUAAUUAGCUGCCUCACCGAGUGGCGGAGCAGUUCGUAGUCCCCUACAUCGAGAGGGAGAGCCCCGUCCUGGCUCAGUACUAGGGCUUCGUGGACGCGCUGUAGCGGGCCUUGGCCGUUGUGGGUAGGAAACAGUCGGGCCGGAUCCCCGGUGUCUGGGGAGCGGCUGCGGCCCGGGCCCGCGCGAGCCACUUCGCUCCUACAAGCCCGGCUCACUAGUUCCAAGCUGCUGGACUUUGACCCUCGCUGGGAAGCUUGAUCGCCGCCUGUUCUCGCCAAUCUCUGCCUUUGCACUGCCCAGCAACCCGGUCACUGCCCAGGACCUGUUAAAAGUGGAAUGGACCUCCCAGAAUCACGCCGCUGCCACCGCCGUUUCUAGAGACGGCUUUUGGCCACCUUUGAGAAUCAGGGUCAAACUUGGAAGGGCCUGCAUUUGUCACACCUCCUCGGACACUAAUUUGGAUAGUUCAGGCCCAGAGACAGCUUCCCGGGUUAGUGUGCCUGACAACACUGAAGAAAAAUUGUGACAUUUUCCUUCCCCAAAAUUACUUCGUUUUAUACAUUUCACUUCUCUUCUGAAAUUACAGCAAUGUCAGUUUGCGCCUUUUGGUCUGAGGAACGCAGGCCCUGGCCACUACCAGGAAAAAGUACACAAGGCUUGCUUGUAGAGAUGGAGUUACAUGGAGGGACAGAAGGUCACUGGUCAGUGAUUUUAGGUUUUUAUACUUCUGAAAACAGGUAAUUACAGAUUCUGAUCAGUUUAUCAUUUUCUUUAGUCUUUUAUUUUCUGCUGAAUGCUCUCAAGGGACUGGAUCCAUACCUGUUUAUCAGGCUCACCUGGAAGAGCCAAGUCAUCCACUCAGGUCUUCCUCUGGACCUGCAUAAUUUCCUCAUUUACUAGAUUGGGUUUCUUUUAUGUGUGGGCUUUUAAUGCUUGGUAUCUCUGGUCUUCCUAAUAUGUAAUGCUUAGCAUAAUGAUUUUAGCCAUUAUUCAUUUUUGUAGUAGGCUUCACUAGCUUCCUGCUUCUCAAAUCCCUUGAAAAAAUGAGAUUUUUUUUUCAUGGAGUUCACGUCUAGUAAGUUGGUCUUGAUUUUUUUUUUUUUCUUUCAGAACCUUCUGGAUUUCAGCUUUGGCAAGCUUCCUCUGUUUCUGAGCCACCUCCAUCACCUGGGGUACAAUCCCAUCCAUGAUUUUCCCCAUCUCCAGGCAUUUUUCAUGGAAAGCUCCUCAUGCUUUUUAAUUCUAGUUUAUCCAUUUGUGUGGCUUUAACCUCCACAUCCAGGUCUUUCUGGCUAAACUGCAGUAUAUCCACAAUGGGGCCAAUGGACACAUAAGGGAGGCCCUGUCACAGGAACACGAACACCCGGAGUCGCUAGAAAUCAGAUUCCACCAGCUUUGCUUCAGGCCGACUUCCUAAGGAAGGCAUGGUAGCAUCACAGAUGCUGUUUGUCUCAGUUUCCUGAGAAACCAAUUUGUUAGAGCUGUCAUUCAAGAGUGGGUCAAAUUUGAGAUAUAAAAACCUUUCUCAAGGUAGACUCUUUGGCCCCUAUGCCUAGUAUGUCAGCUGGGCCUCUGAAGCUCUCCUCUUUGAGGUCCUGGCAGGCUCUGGCCCCUGUUGAGAAGGGGAAGCAGUCAUGUGAACUCAUGUGCUGGAAGAAUCCACUCUACCCCUUCCCUGGCUACUCUCAGCUUCUCUCCUGCAAUUUUUGUCUUUAAACAUAUCUUCAGGUGAUUCCAGGUUGCAUACAUAAUUGAGAAAUAUAAGAUUUGGUCCCCGGUAGAGAGCCAGGUGAACUUAAGAAGGAGUCCAUCUAAGAAAAUUGCACAAUUAUCUAGUUUCACUUGGGUUUAGCUUUUAUGGCUUUACUUGAUUUAGUAAUCAAAUGAUUUUCAAAUGAUUUUGAUCAGGUGACUCUUCGUAAACUAGAGAAUGAACUUGAGAGCCGAAUUAGCACAGUUUAAAAAUAAUCAUUUUGUUUUUGUUCUCUAUUGUGUAAAUUACUGAGGUUUGACUGUCUUGGCUAAACUAAGGCUCAUCUAAUAUCUUUAUUUUUGAUAUCGUAAUUUCUUGCCAAUUAAUUGAAGGUAACAUACUAGCAGACCAGAUAACUACUUAUGCAAACCUUAGAUAACCACUAAUUUAAACAAAAUUAAAUCCUUUGCCUUCCCCAGAUCCUUUGCACAUGGCCUGCUAUCAACAAUCUUCUACAAUGAUUCUCAGCAUCACCUGGGGAGCUUAUGCAAAAUCUCAAAUUCCUGGGCCCUAUCCCCAGAGUUUCUUAUCGAUUUCCUUGAUGGAGAACUAUCAAAGCAGUCAAAGCUAUCAAAAUAAAAAAGAAUUCUGAUUGGGUGCAGUGGCUCACACCUGUCAUUCCAGCACUUUGACAGGCCAAGGUGGGCAGAUCACAUGAGGCCAGGAGUUCAAGACCAGCCUGGCCAACAUGGCAGAAACCCCAUCUCUACUAAAAAUACCAAAAUUAGCCGGGCAUGGUGGAACACACCUGCAAUCCCAGCUACUCGGGAGGCUGAAGCAAGAGAAUCGCUUGAACCUGGGAGGCAGAAGUUGCAGUGAAACAAGGUGGUGCCAAUGCAUUCCAGCCUGGAUGACAGAGCGAGACUCUGUCUCAAG
rnacentral:lncRNA from 1 species